GUUCCUGUAGUUAAAUUUCAAUAACGAUGGUUUUUCAGGCCAUAGAUCUUGGGUAAUAGCCAAGUGGGAAUU
rnacentral:tRNA from 1 species